UACGUAGGGGGGCAAGCGUUGUCCGGAUUUAUUGGGCGUAAAGAGCGUGUAGGCGGCCAGGUAGGUCUGCUGUGAAAACUCGAGGCUCAACCUCGAGAUGUCGGCGGAAACCAUCUGGCUAGAGUCCGGAAGAGGAGAGUGGAAUUCCUGGUGUAGCGGUGAAAUGCGCAGAUAUCAGGAAGAACACCCGUGGCGAAGGCGGCUCUCUGGGACGGUACUGACGCUGAGACGCGAAAGCGUGGGGAGCGAACAGG
rnacentral:rRNA from 1 species